rnacentral:rRNA from 1 species
CCUACGGGGGGCAGCAGUGGGGAAUAUUGCGCAAUGGGCGGAAGCCUGACGCAGCGACGCCGCGUGAGGGAUGAAGGCCUUCGGGUUGUAAACCUCUUUCAGCAGGAACGAAUCAAGACGGUACCUGCAGAAGAAGCACCGGCUAACUACGUGCCAGCAGCCGCGGUAAUACGUAGGGUGCAAGCGUUGUCCGGAUUUAUUGGGCGUAAAGAGCUCGUAGGCGGUUUGUCACGUCGACUGUGAAAGCCCGGGGCUCAACUCCGGGUCUGCAGUCGAUACGGGCAGACUAGAGUUCGGUAGGGGAGACUGGAAUUCCUGGUGUAGCGGUGAAAUGCGCAGAUAUCAGGAGGAACACCGGUGGCGAAGGCGGGUCUCUGGGCCGAUACUGACGCUGAGGAGCGAAAGCGUGGGGAGCAAACAGGAUUAGAUACC